UACAGAGGCCCCAAGCGUUGUUCGGAUUCACUGGGCGUAAAGGGUGCGUAGGCGGUCGGAUAAGUCUGAUGUGAAAUCUUCGAGCUCAACUCGGAAACUGCAUCGGAAACUAUUCGGCUGGAGGAUUGGAGGGGAGACUGGAAUUCUCGGUGUAGCAGUGAAAUGCGUAGAUAUCGAGAGGAACACCAGUGGCGAAGGCGAGUCUCUGGACAAUUCCUGACGCUGAGGCACGAAAGCUAGGGGAGCAAACAGG
rnacentral:rRNA from 1 species